GGCGUAAAAAGGCUCGCCCUUACCGCAGAGAUUUGGGUCCCGGGCUGCCCGGCUCUGGGCCGGACCUGGACCGCUGUCCCGUUGUCCCUCCGCCACCGAGUCCGAUGGCGGCGGCCGCGCCCAGGGAUCCGGCUCCCGGGUUGGUCUGGCCUUCUCAUAUCGGGCCCAUGGACACUGCUUGUUUCCCUGAUUGCCUAAACACGUGCUGUGGCUAGUAAGUCUGAGAUAAUCACAUGGACUUGUCCUGGGUUUGUCAAACACAUUCUGGUGUAUGGGUGGUCUCGUCCAAUCAGAUUCAAUAUGGACUCCUCCAACAUUUUAUUUCUUUCAGGUUGUUGAUGUGGAGCAGAUGAGGAGGAGGUACCUUUCGAGCAGAGGAUUUCUAUAGAAGUGUCAGAGAUCAGGACUCCAAGGCAGAUGUGUCUGCCCAGAGGGCCCACUUCUAUGAGAUAUAUAACCUGGUCUUGAGAGUUUGCGCUUGGCUGUGCCAAGGAACACAUACCAGCCAGAAACCAUACACCUAUGGGGCACAUGGGAAAUGAUUAUGUUUUACUGCAAAUCUUCCAUAGCUCCGGAAGCAGGACAUUGGAGAGAAACACUUUAGAAGCAGAACCUCAUUCGUGAAGAGCUGCAAGUUCUUUGUGUCAAGGAAGCCCUUUAUCUGUAGGGAGGUUGGGAAGGACUUUUUGACCAGCUCUGGGUCUCUCCAACAAUAAGUCAAAGAGCAGUGCCAAGUGCAUAGUGGCCUUACACGAUAUAGAAAUUCAUUAUAAAUCAGGAGGAUGCUUGAAAACUUGUGAGAACAAAUACACAUUUAUUCAGCACCGGAGAGAGCUUUCUAGAACAUGAUGUUACGUAUGUAGUGCAUGUGGGAAGUCGUUGACCAAAAGGUACCGCCUCAAUCACCAUUGGAGAGUUCACACUGGGAAAGGGCCUUAGUAAGUAUGCAGAAUGUGGUAAAUUAUUUAGCAUCAAGGCCAGCCUCAUUCCGCAUCAGAGUUCACACUGGGGAAGGGCCUUAUGUGUGCAAGGAAUGUGGGAACUUGUUUCCUUACAGAUCCAGUCUAAUUACCUGAGGUUUCACACUGAAUCAAGGCCUUAGGAGUGUGGUGAAUGUGGGAAAUCUUUUAGCCAAAGUUCUGUGCUCUUCCAACAUCAGAAUUCACACUGGAGGAAGGCCUCUUGAGUAUGGGGAAUCUGGGAAAUCCUUUAAGUAAAGCUCUGGUGCUCCUUCAGUGUUGGAAAGUUCACCCUGGAUGAAGGCCUUCUGUAUGUGACAACUUCCCCAGCAGAGGCCCUAUCUCAUUGACUACCAGAUAAUUCACAUAGGAAACUCAGAGGAUUAAUGUAGAUGUGCAGGGAGUGUGCUAGUUCUGUAUUCCUUCUAAUGCUGGAGGUGGCUUAUGAGGGUGCCAUCUGCCUGAAUUUAAUCUCCUACAUCAGAACAGCCACCAAAUUCCAGGCCGAGAAAAUUAAGGACAUCCCACCUCAAGUUUAACCUUAGCAAGAGUACAGCCAUCUUAGCUUCAGCAGCCAUCUCAGGCCCCAGUGAGCAGGGGCUGAACUUUAGUUCUAGGAAAAACUGCUAAGCUUUAGUAACAGGAAAA